AGUCGCCUCAGCCGCGGUAUGAGGGAGCGGGAGUCUUCCUUAGCUUCUCCGCCAUGGGUGUCGCUUCGUAGCCGGGCUGCUCCGGGAAAGGCCUCGUACAGCACGCAUUCACCAGAAUCCUGUCAGCUUUCCUCUUCUCAUCCAGAUGCCUGGCCAGGAUCCUCGAUAAGACCGUGACCCCCAACUUGGACACCCCAUAAGGUUCCCAGAUGAUGUGACAGCUACUGGUUUCCAGCCACACCUUGAGAACACUUGGCUUUGACUACCACUUCUUAAACUUAAAGGGUCUUCUCUGUCACCCAGGCUGGAGUGCAGUGCUGCAGUCGUGGCUCACUGUAGCGUCAAUCUCCUGAGCUCAGGAAAACUAGACAAUCCACCAGCCCAGGAGGGGACAAGCAGGAUUAAUCCUCCUCCUCGUCAUCUCUGGCUCCAGCCCCACCCUGGCCCUUGCUGGCAUUCUUCCUCUUCACGUGGCUGGGUUUGGCCACCCCAAUAGGGAAGCAGAGGGAGAAGUCGAUGUGCUUCUGGGAAUCCAGGCGGAUAGUGAAGAACAGGAUAUUUACCACCUGCUCACGGACACGGAUAUGACACUGUUGGAUCAGCACAUGAGCGUGGCAGAUGGACUUAGCCAAGCCAAGCUUGAAGACCUGGGUCUGUAG
rnacentral:antisense_RNA from 1 species